AGUCACACAUUUAAUACUGAACAAUGCUGUUUUAUGGCUUAUACAGGAAUUUGACAGAUGACUGAUGGAUUCACAAGCAUUUCUGUAGAUUAAUCUCUGUAGAGUCGAGGACAAAACGCAGGACUGAGCAGCUCCAGAGGGCAAACGGCAGAGACGGACGGGAGCAAUGAACCCUGGGAUUGAGCUGGAAGACUCCUGUCCCGUUCAGGAGACACAGAUUUUCCAGUAAAAGUCUUGUGUCUCGGAAGUGUCCUUUGACAUCCGUAUAAUAAAACAGAGGAGUUUCCAUAGCAACCAAUCCCACAGAAGCCAUUUGUGAGGAAACGCUCACAAUAUCUGACGCUCUUUUCCCAGAAGAUGAAAGCGUCCAGACGCAGGGUUGAUUUUCGUGUUUUCUGUGAACGUGUGUAAAUCAAACUGAAGUUUCCUAAAGUGUUCUGAGAUAUUCUGUCUGCGUGGCAUUAAACACUUGGAGGGUCAGACGACACGCGUGUGUGACGCCGAGGCCCCAAACAACACG